UACGUAGGGGGCAAGCGUUGUCCGGAAUCAUUGGGCGUAAAGAGCGUGUAGGCGGUUCGGUAAGUCGGCUGUGAAAGUCCAGGGCUCAACCCUGGGAUGCCGGUCGAUACUGCCGGACUAGAGUUCGGAAGAGGCGAGUGGAAUUCCCGGUGUAGCGGUGAAAUGCGCAGAUAUCAGGAAGAACACCCGUGGCGGAAAGCGGCUCUCUGGAACGGUAC
rnacentral:rRNA from 1 species